rnacentral:lncRNA from 1 species
CAGUCUUUUUAGGGCCACAAGCACCGCAUAUGGAGGUUCCCAGGCUAGGGGUCAAAUCGGAGCUAUAGCUGCUGGCCUACCCCACAGCCAUAGCAACCCCAGGUCCAAGCCUUGGCUUGACCUACACAACAGCACACAGCAAUGCCAGAUCCCACUGAGGGAGGCCAGGGAUCAAAACUGCAUCCUCAUGGAUACUAGUCAGAUUCGUUUCCUCUGAGCCACAAUGGGAACUCCUAUUUCUAUUAUCUUAAAUGCCCUUAAAAGAUAUCAGUUCUUCUCACCUUCCUCAAAUCUUAUUCCUCCAGGAAGAUGUAGAGUGCUCUCCCAUUAAACCAACAGAAUACAGAAGUGAUGACUUCCCAGGGCAAGUCCUAAAAGGAUAAAACUUGGCCCAACUCUUGGACUCCAGCCACCACUCUGUGAAGUCUGGGUAAAGUUCUGGACAUAUCUCACCUGAAGCCUUAUCCAGCAUAGAACACCGGUGCAUGAAGAGCAUUCAGAUGAUUCUAGUCCCUAUUCUUUAAAGCUGCUUCCAGUGAGGCUCAGUAGUGCAGAAAUGAACUAUCUAAGCACAGUCAGUAAAAUAAAUCUUGUUGAUAUUUCAAGUUUUGGGAAUGGUUUUGUUAUGCAGUACUAGGUAACUGCAAGUCACCAAUACAACUCUCCACAUUCUGAUGGUCCCAUUGAGUUUACAUAAUAUAAUCCAGCUUUGUUGUUUUACUGGUUUUCUCAAUAUAAGCAGCUCAGCAAGUAGAAAUGUGACACCUACAAAAACUUGUUGUAUACCUACCACCUUCCUGGACUAGCACUGGAAGUUAAGGGAAUACAGUAAUGAAUGAGUAUUCCUAAAGUACUUCUUGAACUGGCAAAACCAGAUCAGAACUGAAGAAUCAAAGAAAGCAGGUAUUAAUUUAAAGAAAAAGAACCUAUGUUGAGCUAGUAAGAUAUAUGCAUGAAAGACCCGGUGGAAAGAAGGAAGUGAAAGAAAAGACAGCCAGGCAUGAUUGAAAGAGUCCAAUUGCAGGCUAGACAGGUGUUGUUGAUGUCCAAGUUGCUCUAAAGGUUCUAGGUCCACACUCCAAGCCAUUUGUCUAAAAUCACAAGUGGUCUAAAGACUGACACGUUUGUCUCUCUCUCCAUUCCUAGACUGUCCAAUAAUGUGCAAGGAUCCAGGUAAAUAAAUGUUGGGGAUGGAAAUGGAUGGGCUGAGUAAUGACAACUUGGGUGUUUUGGAGCAUGAGCUAUCUAAAUAUAAUCAGAUUUCACUUAGUUUUAUCCUAGAUGAUUUCUCUGGAUUUAACAAAAGAAAAUAAACAUGCAUUUUUUAAAUGAGAUUUUGUAAAAAAGAAAAAAAAAAACUUGACUUUAGGUAAGGGUAACAAAUUAUCAUUCUAUUUUUCUUAACAAAUAUCAAAACCCUUCAAAAUAGGGGCAUGGGUUUAUAUUUAUUAUCCAGUCUUAGUCUCAGGGUUCUUUCAUACACCAAGUAGGGAUACUUCUAAGCCAAGAGCCAUUUUGCCUUUAGAACCAAAAGCAAAAACAAAACAAACAAAAAAAGAAAAACCCUUAACUGCCAAAAUCAAUUACAAAAGGUGAUUCCCAAUCACAAAUUCUUGGUUUUCUUAUGUUUAGGAAGCAUGUUCAUUAACUGCUCAUAUUGUACAUACAUCAGGUUCUGAGUACUCUCUAACCACUCCAAGAACUAAUGUGUUCCCUGGUUUCUGCUCACCACUAUCUCACAAGACAUCAAAACAAUGAGGCUGAAUGAACAGGUGGAAGAUGAACUCCAACGCUUAUGUUUAACCAUUCUACUAACGUUUUAUCAAUAUAGUCAUUACAAGAUGGUUAUGGUAAUUUGUUGAGGGCUCCAUGAGGUUUUUAGUACAAAAUCUUUUCCACUUUUAUUCAUGAUUUUUUUUAUUCCUAUAGUGCAACCUCACCUAUAACACCCAGCUGGAUGAGCUACUACUAAUCUAAUGUUCUUGAAGUUAGUUAAAAAUAUGGACUGAGCCCACUGAGCGAGUCCAGGGAUCAAACACACAUCUUCAGAUACUAGUCAGGUUCAUUUCCUCUGAACCACAACGGGGAACUCCUGUACUUAGUUCUUAAUGUAUUUCCUAAAUCUAUCACAUGAAAAGGCCUAGAAAUACAAACAACCUAGAAAAAUGCAAACCCAUCAUGUGGACUUAUCUAAGUACCGCUUCCCAUUAAAGGGAACCAGGGAUCCUUGGGGAAAUAGCCAGUUUCAGAGCUGGGACAAAGCAGACUAAGAAGCCCGGAAAAUUUGUUUGAGCUGAACAAAUUGACGUUGACACAUGUUCCAUCCCUGGCCUUGAUCAAUGGGUUAAGGAUCCCGCCUUGCCGUGAACUGUGGUGUAGGUUGCAGAAGUGGCUUGGAUCUGGCAUUGCUGUGCUGUGGCGUAGGCCAGGGGCUACAGCUCAGAUUCAACCCCUGGGACCCUCAUAUGCCACCAGCAAGGCCCUAAAAAGACAAAAAAAAAAAAAAAAAAAAAAAAA